GAUGAACGCUAGCGGCAGGCCUAAUACAUGCAAGUCGAACGGUAAAUAUUUAGCAAUAGAUAUGAGAGUGACGUACGGGUGCGUAACACGUAUGCAACCUACCCUUUACAGGUGGAUAGCUCGGGGAAACUCGAAUUAACCCACCAUAAUAUUAUUGGAUGGCGUCAUUUGAUAAUUAAAUCACCAGAGGUAGAGGAUGGGCAUGCGUCUGAUUAGUUAGUUGGCGGUGUAACGGACCGCCAAGACGAUGAUC
rnacentral:rRNA from 1 species